GGGCCCGCACAAGCAGUGGAGUAUGUGGUUUAAUUCGAAGCAACGCGAAGAACCUUACCAGGGUUUGACAUCCCUCGAAUAAUGCAGAAAUGUAUUAGUCCUACGGGACGAGGAGACAGGUGGUGCAUGGUUGUCGUCAGCUCGUGUCGUGAGAUGUUGGGUUAAGUCCCGCAACGAGCGCAACCCUUGUUGUUAGUUGCCAUCAAGUAAUGUUGGGCACUCUAACGAGACUGCCGGUGAUAAAUCGGAGGAAGGUGGGGACGACGUCAAAUCAUCAUGCCCCUUAUAUCCUGGGCUACACACGUACUACAAUGGCUACUACAGAGGGAAGCGAAGCCGUGAGGCGGAGCGAAUCUCAAAAAAGUAGUCUCAGUUCGGAUUGUAGGCUGCAACUCGCCUACAUGAAGUCGGAAUUGCUAGUAAUGGCAGGUCAUCAUACUGCCGUGAAUACGUUCCCGGGCCUU
rnacentral:rRNA from 1 species